GAUGAACGCUGGCGGCGUGCCUAAUACAUGCAAGUCGAGCGAACGGACGAGAAGCUUGCUUCUCUGAUGUUAGCGGCGGACGGGUGAGUAACACGUGGAUAACCUACCUAUAAGACUGGGGUAGCUGCGGGAGAACGGGGCUAAUACCGGAUGAUAUAUUGAACCGAAUUGUUCAAGAGUUGAAGAGGGUAUUGAUGUCACUUAUAGAUGAAUCAGCGCUGCAUUAGCAAGUUGGUAAGGUAAUGGCUUACCAAGACAACGAUGCAAACACGACCAGAAAGGGUGAUAGGCCAGCCUGGAACAGAGACACGGUCCACACCCCAACGAAAGGCAGCAGCACGGAAUCCUCCGCGAUGAGCGACAGCCUGACGUAGCAACAUCUCGUGAGUGAUGAAGGACCCCGGAUCGCCAACAUUUGUUAUCAGGGAAGAACAUAAGUGUAAGUACCUGGGAACAUCAUGACGGUACCUAAUCAGAAAGCCACGGCUAACUACGUG
rnacentral:rRNA from 1 species